GGGUUGUUCUUUGUAAUAUAAAAUACUAUUUUAUUGAAAUAGUUUUUGCAUUUGUCUACAUACGAUUACUUAUGAUAAAGUUGUUCAUUUCUUCUAGGUUUUUACACAGUGUGGCAUACAGAAAGUUUACAAGGAUGGUGUAUGGUGUAAUUGGAAAAACAAGAAUCCCACUGCUGCAUGUGCAUACCAUGCAAUAAGGAAGACAUUCCCUCUCACAAAAGAUGAAUCAUUUACCAGAUUUGAAAUGGAGGAGGAUAAAAUAUUUGAAUAAAUUAAUGACUAAGCUAACAUACAGUAAAACCCAUCGUAUAAGAACCUACCGUAGAUGUUUACAAAAUAACAGUGUUUCCAUUACUUUAUAAAGAGCUUAUUUUCUUUAAUUGAUGUUUAAAUUUUUGCUUCUUCGAUAAAAUAAGAAGCUGUUUUGGAAUUCUAGUCUGAACUGGUUCUUUUGUAAAGCAGGGUUUUACUGUACUAUUUAAAUAUUAUACUCUAAUGAAACCUAUAUGGAACAUAUUUGGUAUCAACAUAAAUCAGUUUUGACUAGUGCUCAUCAGGGAUAGAAAACAAGUAAAGUAGAGCAAACUUGAUACAAGUAGUGCAUGAUAUAAUUUAUUUAACAAAUAUCACUACCCUGCCUAUAAAGCA